CCUACGGGAGGCUGCAGUGGGGAAUAUUGCGCAAUGGGCGAAAGCCUGACGCAGCGACGCCGCGUGAGGGAUGCAGGUCUUCGGAUCGUAACCCUCUGUCAGCAGGGCAGAACGGUCACUGUGCUAAUCAGCAGUGACUUGACGGUACCUGCAAAGGAAGCACCGGCUAACUCCGUGCCAGCAGCCGCGGUAAUACGGAGGGUGCGAGCGUUAAUCGGAAUUACUGGGCGUAAAGCGCUCGUAGGUCGUAUGUCAAGUCAAGGGUGAAAUCCCCGCGCUCAACGUGGGAACUGCCUUUGAAACUGGCAAACUGGAGUGUGUGAGAGGAUAGUGGAAGUCCAGGUGUAGGAGUGAAAUCCGUAGAUAUCUGGAGGAACAUCAGUGGCGAAGGCGACUAUCUGGCACAUAACUGACGCUGAGGAGCGAAAGCGUGGGUAGCAAACAGGAUUAGAUACCCGAGUAGUC
rnacentral:rRNA from 1 species